rnacentral:rRNA from 1 species
CGACUUAACUGAACCUUCGGGGGACGUUAAGGGCGUCGAGCGGCGGACGGGUGAGUAAUGCCUGGGAAUAUGCCUUGAUGUGGGGGAUAACCAUUGGAAACGAUGGCUAAUACCGCAUAAUCUCUUCGGAGCAAAGAGGGGGACCUUCGGGCCUCUCGCGUCAAGAUUAGCCCAGGUGGGAUUAGCUAGUUGGUGAGGUAAUGGCUCACCAAGGCGACGAUCCCUAGCUGGUCUGAGAGGAUGAUCAGCCACACUGGAACUGAGACACGGUCCAGACUCCUACGGGAGGCAGCAGUGGGGAAUAUUGCACAAUGGGCGCAAGCCUGAUGCAGCCAUGCCGCGUGUGUGAAGAAGGCCUUCGGGUUGUAAAGCACUUUCAGCAGUGAGGAAGGUGGUGUCGUUAAUAGCGGCAUCAUUUGACGUUAGCUGCAGAAGAAGCACCGGCUAACUCCGUGCCAGCAGCCGCGGUAAUACGGAGGGUGCGAGCGUUAAUCGGAAUUACUGGGCGUAAAGCGCAUGCAGGUGGUUUGUUAAGUCAGAUGUGAAAGCCCGGGGCUCAACCUCGGAACCGCAUUUGAAACUGGCAGGCUAGAGUACUGUAGAGGGGGGUAGAAUUUCAGGUGUAGCGGUGAAAUGCGUAGAGAUCUGAAGGAAUACCGGUGGCGAAGGCGGCCCCCUGGACAGAUACUGACACUCAGAUGCGAAAGCGUGGGGAGCAAACAGGAUUAGAUACCCUGGUAGUCCACGCCGUAANCGAUGUCUACUUGGAGGUUGUGGCCUUGAGCCGUGGCUUUCGGAGCUAACGCGUUAAGUAGACCGCCUGGGGAGUACGGUCGCAAGAUUAAAACUCAAAUGAAUUGACGGGGGCCCGCACAAGCGGUGGAGCAUGUGGUUUAAUUCGAUGCAACGCGAAGAACCUUACCUACUCUUGACAUCCAGAGAACUUUCCAGAGAUGGAUUGGUGCCUUCGGGAACUCUGAGACAGGUGCUGCAUGGCUGUCGUCAGCUCGUGUUGUGAAAUGUUGGGUUAAGUCCCGCAACGAGCGCAACCCUUAUCCUUGUUUGCCAGCGAGUAAUGUCGGGAACUCCAGGGA